UGUUUAUCAUUUUCUCCAUUAGCUGAUUCAUUCCCUCCCAACUUUUUGUUCACUCGAAAGAUGGGAACCAAAGACCCCGAAAGUUUGUUUUUUGGUAUAACAAACCCAGUCUUUGCAGCAAACAUGGAUACCUUUUGGCUUCCCACAGGUGCAGCAGAAGAAAUAGUUGCUCCAGACAUCUUCACAUUUUUAGAUUCAAUAUGAG
rnacentral:misc_RNA from 1 species